rnacentral:rRNA from 1 species
AGCUCCAGUAGCGUAUAUUAAAGUUGUUGCAGUUAAAAAGCUCGUAGUCGAACUUCGGGCCUGGCGGGAUGGUCUGCCUUACGGUAUGUACUGUCCGGCCGGGUCUUACCUCUUGGUGAGGCCGUAUGCCCUUCAUUGGGUGUGCGGUGGAACCAGGAAUUUUACCUUGAGAAAAUUAGAGUGUUCAAAGCAGGCAAUUGCCCGAAUACAUUAGCAUGGAAUAAUAGAAUAGGACGUGCGGUUCUAUUUUGUUGGUUUCUAGGAUCGCCGUAAUGAUUAAUAGGAACGGUCGGGGGCAUUAGUAUUCCAUUGCUAGAGGUGAAAUUCUUAGAUUUAUGGAAGACUAACAACUGCGAAAGCAUUUGCCAAGGACGUUUUCA